rnacentral:rRNA from 1 species
GACGGAGGGUGCAAGCGUUGCUCGGAAUCACUGGGCGUAAAGGGUGCGUAGGCGGUCUCGCAAGUCUGGCGUGAAAGCCCAAGGCUCAGCCUUGGAAGUGCGCUCGAAACUGCGCAGCUCGAGUGCCGGAGGGGAGAGUGGAAUUCCUGGUGUAGCGGUGAAAUGCGUAAAUAUCGGGAGGAACACCAGUGGCGAAGGCGACUUCCUGGCCUGUUCUUGACGCUGAGGCGCGAAAGCUAGGGUAGCAAACGGG